rnacentral:lncRNA from 1 species
GCCCAGUGAACAGCAUCCAGGCAAAGGGGGCACAGAUGAGCAGAGCUGAGCGCACACGCAGACUCCUCACCAUUGCAGUCACUGGAGAGUGCUGGAUGGGACUAGAACUACUGACAGGUGAUAUCCUAAACUCCUCCAUUUGGCAGCAGAAAUGUGGCUAUUGCUGAAGCACAGAAACCAAAGGACCAUGAACACAGAAAUGUGGAGCAGAGUAAAAGUGAGCGAAAAGGACCUGCUGACAAGACUCUGAGACCUCAGUUUCACUCCCUGUAAAGCUGGAGCAAACAUCUCACGCAAGGUGUGGCCAGGAGAAAUCAAUGGCUAAUGGCUAGAGCUGACUUUUGUCCUCCUUGUCAUAAAAGACCUUUGAAUUGCUUGGCCACUUUUGAAUUUCUCAGGAAAAGUGAUAACAUGAGGUCAAACUUCAUACCAGUUGGCUGUGCUGCUUCCCACCAGCACUCACGAGGCCAUGGGGACAGAGGGAAUGAACACAAUUCCAUCAGUGUUGGGCCACGUCCAUGGCGGUUGAGUCACCAGCACAGGAGACACUUCCUCAUCGAUCCCCCACCCAUCACACCACAGAAAACAUCCCAGGGCUUUGUUCAUCUGCCAUUCCCACCCAUACAACCGAAGGGUGAAGACGGAGGACUCAGCAUGGUGUGAGCCUUGGUCAGGGUCAGUCCUGAUCCAAGAGAUACAGAUCAAAAUCAUGCUUGUCCCUCCCCAGUUGCCACCCAGCCUCCCACCUCUUCUUCCCAGAAUGAUUGAAUCAAAAUUUCCCAUCCCUGGGUCUGGACAUCUGCAUUUCAUCAAGCUCUUCAGAAGACUGUAUCAAUCCCCUCGCAAGUUCCUGGAGGAAAUACAGGGAUCUGCAUGUCCAAAUGACAUCUGCCCCACUCUCCUCUGGGCUCAGCAUGCCCAGUGUCCACACUCCAGGGUCCCCUUACUCACCACCCACCAGAGCCGGAGCCGCUCUGGGCAGUUCAUGGCCCCAGAAUGGUCUACAGGUCGUGGGGAGGGGUGAUCUUGCUCUUGCUAUUCUGUUAACUUCAUGAAACCCUUCCCAAUAUUUAAAGCCCAACUCCAGUGAUCCAACUCCAGGAAUGUGCUGUUUAAUUUCCACAUGUUUGUGAAUUCCCCAAAUUUCCUUCUGUCAUUGAUUCCUAAUCUCACUCCUUGUUAUUAGAGAACAUACUUUGUAUGCUUUUGCCCUUUUAAAUUUUAUUGGAAUUUGUUUUAUGGCCUAGCAUAUGGUAUAUCCCAGAGAAUGCUGCCUGAGCACUAGACAAGAAUGUAUGUUCUACUUUGGUUAAACAGAGCAGUCUAUAGAUGUUUAUGAGUUUUAGCUGGUUUAUAGAAUUAUUUGAGACUUCUGUUUUCUUGUUGCUCUUUUGUGCCUCAUAUAACUUUGUCUCUUCAAUGGAUUAGAAAAAAAUGUGUCUUUGAAAAUUGAUUUCACUGUCCUUUAGAGAUUUUGCUUUGGAAUCCUAACUAUCCAGUUUGAUUAUCUGCACAAAUUUAUCACUUUUCUGAGCCCUGGGUCAAUCUAGCAUAUGAUAUAGGGGUUAAGGCUUGGGAUGCAAAAUCUGAGUGAGGACAGACUCCAUACCUGAUCCUCCUUGGGCAUGUGAUUCCUGGGGAGGUUUGAGAUAAAUCAACUCUUGAUCUCUUAAUUGAGCUAAUGUUUCCUUCUUUUCCUCCUGGUUUCCUUUUUCUCUUCUCUUCUUUCUCUCUCCUUCCUUCCACUGUUCUUUUUCCAUCCUGCCAUAUAUCUGUUUCUUUCUUUUUCAUCCCAUCUAUUCAUUUCUUCCUUCCUUCUCUCCCUCCCUUCCUUCUUUCCUUCUAUUUGAUCAUUCAUCCUAUUUUCCACUUGUCCUUUCAUGCAUUUGUCCACUUAAAAAAAAAAUUUUUUUUUUUAAAAAGACAGGGUCUUGCUUUGUAAUUCAGGCUUGUUUUAAACUUACUAUACAGCCCAGGCUGGCCUCUAACUCAUAGUAAUCCUCCUGCCUCAGCCUCCCAAGUGCUGGGAUCACAGGUGUGUGCCAUCACACUGGCUAUCCAUUCAUUCUUUAUCUUUACUUAUUCAUUUUGAGCCAUUUUCUCACUAGAUAGCCCAGGCUGGCCUCAAACUUGGAGCAAUCCUCCUGCCUCAGCCUCCUGAGUGCUGGGAUUAUAGAAGGACCCUGGUUUUUAAUCCUCACUUUCCACCCAAGAAUCUUCAGAGUAUCUAACAAUACUCUUUUAUGCACAAACUUUUGUGAAAUACCUAUUGAGGUCAGACAAAGUGCUUGCCAUUGAACUAAGACCAGAGACUGAUAACACAGCCUGAUAGAACCACCAUUGGCAGUCAGUGCGGCUGAGAGCAGGAACCUCCAGGAGGCUGUUUGCAAGGGUUUCUUGGAGAAAUAAACACUCGGUGGAGCCUUGAAGGAUAUACACUCAUUUCUUUGAGAUCAAAUGAGGUGACAGUGUGAGACUGUAAAAUGUAAAAGAAGUCCCAGCAAGGGAGUGAUGUCUAUUGUUAAGAUACUCUGGCAAAAAUGACUUAGACUGAUAACAACUGGCCUUCCUGGGAAAGAUACCGGUCAGAAGCAUUAGCAAGUUACCAUGCAAUUUUUAAGACUAUGAGGCAAGUUUGUUGUGGUUGGAAUCAGGCACUCGAAGAGCAAGCCAGCAUGGCGUUUUGGUGUUAGACCCAGCUGGCCCCCAGGCCCAUGGUCACUUGCUGUCCAUGUGCUCGUCCAUGGCAUGGAAAUGUAAUAAAAGGAGUGAGGGAAAUGGUUUGUGUUGGAGUUGGUGGCACAGUGAGUGCUCUGUCAUGUCACUUAGUACUGUUCAUGGGAAAGAAACUCAAAGGUCACGGGGCUCAAGGUGGCACAGAUCCAUGUUUUCUUACUGAAAAGAUGCUUUUUUGUGUGUGUGGUACUCAAGAUUGAACCUAGAACCCGCACAUUUUAUCUUUUUUUUGAGACAGGGUCUUACUUUGUAGCCCUGGCUGACCUUAAACUUGAAGUAAUCCUCUUGCCUCAGCCUCCCGAGUCCUGGGAUUAGAGGCAUGAGCCACCAUGGCCAGCCUUCUUAUCUUAUCUUAUUUUAUUGUUUUGAAAUAGAUCCUAGUUAAAUUGCUACAUUUCCCAGGCUAGGCUCAAACUUUCAAUCCUUUUACCUCAGCCUCCCAGAAUGCUGGGAUUAUAGGCAUGUACCACCAUGCCUGGUUUGAAAAGAUGCUUUUUAUCUACUAUCAAAUAAACAAAUAUAAUGGGCUGGGGAUUUAGCUUAGUGGUUCUGCCACCUGCCUUGCAAGCAGAAGGUCCUGAGUUUGAUCCCCGGUACCAAAAUAAAUAAAUAAAUAAACAAAUAUAGAACCUUAUGGAAAUUACUUGUUUUUUUGGUACCAGGGAUCCAACUCAGCACCUUGUGCUUGCAAGGCAGAUGGUGGCACUACUGAGCUAAAUCCCCAGCCUGAAAUUACUUGGUUUUUCUUAGCCUUUGCCUCCUUUUUAGUAAAAUCUCUCAAUAUUAUCAUGAGAAAAGCAGCCUCUGUUAAGGGAAAGACUUUUGAAAAUGAUGAAAUGCAAGCCUAAACCACAAAGAUGUGUGCCUCAGUAUUAUUUAUCAUGGGGAUGGAAACAGAUGUACAAAAAGAGGAGGCUGUUAAAUAAAUUGUUGGACUUCUUUCAAUGGAACUGUAAACAGAGCAUUUAUGUCUCAUGAGAACUAACAUUUUCUCCUCUUGUUGAAUGAUUAAUCCCUCUGCACACAAAAGAGUGAGAUUUGGACAGUAUUUAUUGAAAGAAUGAAAAAAUAAACGAGAGAAAACUGACUUCCAAGGGGCAUCCACCUGGCUGUUGUUUUGCUGUAUGGGACAUAAUCUGUAGAUCAGAAGAGUUGUGGGUGAUUGGAAAUAAAGCCAGACAGAAGAAAAAACAAAAGCUUUCAGUAGGAUGCUGGUGAACAGCAAGAGACAUAACUCUCCUCUGUGGCCCACAAAGUCCUCAGUAAAAUACAGAGAGCCUGGCAGGGCUCUGGGGACUGGAGAGAUGUUUUCGGAGAGAGAGAUGAAACACAGUGACAUUUUGGUUGUGGAACAGCUUGAACAGCAAAGCUGAAAAAAAAUCCUCUCCGAAUUCCUAACUUUGCUUGAUUGUCAAACUGAAAAUCCAACUUUGAAAAAACCUGCGAGGGCUGAGAAUGCGUCAUGUCUGGCCAUGAAGACAAAGGGGUGAUGCUUCAGUCCAAGCGCCACUCUCGCCCAGCCAACGUACUGUACAGAGCUGGUGUCAGUGCAUCAAAGCAUCGUCAUCACUCCUGUGCGUGUGUGUGUAAAAUAUCAUAACCAUGCUCCAAAGAAAGUUAGGGAUACCAACUGUAAAGCCAAUAGGAAAACUAUGAGAACCACAUUAGUUAAAAGAAAGAAAUCAUUGCGAAAUUUGUUAGUCUUGGAAAAAUGAAUUUAUAAGUGCAAUUUUUGGGCCUCAGAACCAAUUAUUUGGUUUUCCAUUAUUUCUUAUGGGAAAAAAUUUGUUCAGUUCUGAAACUUUUCAGUGUUCAGAUGCGAAUUUGGAACGAAUGAGUUUGAUAACCAAGGCAUCACUGUAUAGAGACCAGCCUCAACUGGAGAACACCCAUGGACCUCCAAUCACAGGUAUCUGAGUAUCACAAUGCAGAAGACAUACUGGUACAAAAACAGCAUGUGGGUUAGUGGAACAGAACAUGGAAAGUAGAAACAACCCCGGGAUAUUCAGCUUUUGAUCUUUGAUAAAGGGGCCAAAAACACAGUAGAGGAAAGACGGCCUCUUUAAUAAAUGCUGCUAGGAAAAGUGGCUAUCCAAAUACAGAAGACUGAGUCUAGACCCAUAUGUCUCACCAUGCGUUAAACUAAAAUAAAAAUGGAUCAAAAAUCUAAAUGUCAAAACAGAAAAAAUCUGCUGGAAGAUAAAAUAGGUAAAACUCUUGAAGACAUAGGUGUAGGCAAAGACUUUCUGAACAGAACUCAAAUGGCACAAGAAAUAAUAUCAAGAAUCAACAAAUGGGAUAGCAUCAAAUUAAAAAGCUUCUGCAAAGCAACAGAAACAACCGACGUAGUGAAGAGAACCUACAGAAUGGGAAAUUUUUUUUUUCUGCCAGCUAUUCCCCAGACAGGAGACUAAUAUCUAGAACAUAUAAAGAACUAAAAAAAAAAAAAAGACCCCCCCAAAAAAUGAAAGACCCAAUCAAAAAAUAAGCAACUGAGUUUGAUGCCCGGUACCAAAAAAAAAAAAAGAGCAACUGAAAUAGUCACUUCUCAGAAGAGGAAGUACAAAUGACCAAUAAAAUACAUUAAAAAAUGUUGAACAUUUCUGGCCAUUAGAGAAAUACAAGUCAAAACAACACUGAGAUCCUAUCUUGCUCCAGAAGGAAUGACAUAUCAUCAAGAAAUCAAAUAAUAACAAAUGCCGGAGAGGGUGCAGGGAAAAAGGCACAAUUUUGCAUUAUUGGUGGGAAUGUAAACUAGUACAACCAGUAUAGAAAUCAGUAUGGAGAUUCCUCAAAAAAGUAAACCUAGAAAUUCCAUUUGACCCAACUAUUCCCCUUCUAGGUGUCAUCUGGAAAGAGUUAAAGUCAUCAUAUUACAGUGAUACUUGCAGACCCAUGUUUAUAGCAGCACAAUUUAUAAUAGCUAAAUCUUGGAAACAACCUAUGCACACAUCAACAAGUGAAUGGAUAAAGAAAAUGUGGUACUUCAACACAAUGGAGUACUACUCUGCCAUAAAGAGGAUAAACUUGAGGCAUUCCUAGGUAAAUGGAUGCACUUUGAGACUAUGAUAUGAAGUGAAAUAAAACAGACACACAAGCUUAAAUAUUGCUUAGAUUCUCUUAUAUGAGAAACCCAAAAUAUAAAUAAAAAGCAAAAUAAAUGAUAAUAGGCAGUAGGGAGGCCUUUUUCAAAUGG